rnacentral:rRNA from 1 species
AUUGAACGCUAGCGGGAUGCUUUACACAUGCAAGUCGAACGAGUGGCGGACGGGUGAGUAAUAUAUCGGAACGUGCCCCGUAGCGGGGGAUAACUACUCGAAAGAGUGGCUAAUACCGCAUACUCUUGGAGCGGCCGAUCUCGGAUUAAUGAGUGGGGGGGGGAAAGGCUAACCAAGGCAACGAUCCGUAGCUGGUUUGAGAGGAGGACCAGCAACACUGGGACUGGGACACGGCCCAGACUCCUACGGGAGGCAGCAGUGGGGAAUUUUGGACAAUGGGGGAAACCCUGAUCCAGACAUCCCGCGUGUAUGAGAAGGCCUUCGGGUUGUAAAGUACUUUCAGCGGGGAGGCGUUACCCGAAGAAGAAGCACCGGCUAACUCCGUGCCAGCAGCCGCGGUAAUAC